GCUAGCAGUGAUACCUGCACCGCGCCCCCAUUUAAAGCGCUAGCAGUGAUACCUGCGCCCCCACAUUUAAAGCGCUAGCAGUGAUACCUGCGCCCAUGAUAAAAAUAUAGCAAGCGCUAGCAGCUAUACCUGCGCCUCAAUCCCACACUUAAAAAAAAAAAUAUAUAUGCUUACUUUAUAUACAAAUAUACUCAACUUAAAUGAAAAAUGAUAUACAUAGUUAAGCAUAUGUUAUUAAUGUGAACACGCUAUUAACGAAAAAGAGCCACAGGGCAUAAAAAAAAGCCAAAGUGAAAAAAAAAUAUAUAUAUACAUAUUAAUAUAAAAAAAAAAAAGUUCGCAAUUUCUCACGAGGCGUCUUGGCAAGCGGCAGCAACAUCAACGGAGGAUAACGGCAGCAGCAUCACCGGCGCAGCACAGCAAAACACCGGCGCGGCACAGCACAAAAGGCAAAACAAUUGCGGUACAGUUGGACAUAGUCACAGGUGGUAUCAGAGAAACCCGUAGUCAUUGUGCGCAAUGGAAUUUAGUUUGUGUCGUUUGUGUUGCCGCUUCCAUAGUCUGAGGUUCUGCCACGCCUUCAAAGCGAUGACGCCAGAUGAGAGGUACGAAUCGGCAAAGGUGCAUCGCUAUUGCAUCAAUUGCCUGGCCACGUCCCACGUAACCGGCGCAUGUGACUCGCACGAUAGUUGCCACCGAUGUGGCAAAGCGCAUCACACCAUGCUACACCGCUCCGCCUCUCCACCGCCAGACCGCCGCCGCCGUGAAGAGCCUCGUGUGAAAUCCAGCCGCCAGGGAAUACAGUCGACCAUUAAGGCCGUGGACAAGCCGCCCAAGAAGCAUAAAGGCCGUACAGGCGUCCAGCAGCGCAUACAGGAUUUAUUCAGCCAGGCGGUAGUGACGCUAGAAAAGCUGAAACAGCUGCUCAAUAUUGCUCCGGCACAGGCGGGCCGGCAUGUUGAGAACAUGGGCAUAAAUCUGAUAGAUUUGUAGACGAGGGACAGCUGCGCGCGUUUGCUUUUUAAAUUUUGUAUUUUCCAAAUUUGAAGAUGGAUUACCUACCAAAUGAAUUGUAAACCUUUUUAGAAUAUGUACAUAUUAACUUGUAUAUCGUAAAUUUGGGUGGCGUGUUUUUCCGAUUUUUGAAUUGUAAAGCGACGGUACGGGGAGACCCGAGCGCGCCAGCCUAGGUUUUUUAGUCUUCUACUGACCGCCACCGCUUUCACAUCGUUAACUUUCAAAUCCGCCCCUCUGGCACCUUGAAUUAGAAUUUUCAUUGUAAUCAAACAUAUUGGAUAAUAAACACUUGAGAUUCAUAGAUUGUAAAGCAAA
rnacentral:lncRNA from 1 species